rnacentral:tRNA from 2 species
GGCGAAGUAGCUCAGUUGGUUAGAGCAGAGGAAUCAUAAUCCUUGUGUCGGGGGUUCAAAUCCCUCCUUCGCUACCA